CGCGGCCUAUCAGCUUGUUGGUGAGGUAAUGGCUCACCAAGGCGACGACGGGUAGCCGGCCUGAGAGGGCGACCGGCCACACUGGGACUGAGACACGGCCCAGACUCCUACGGGAGGCAGCAGUGGGGGAUAUUGCACAGUGGGCGAAAGCCUGAUGCAGCGACGCCGCGUGAGGGAUGACGGCCUUCGGGUUGUAAACCUCUUUCAGCAGGGAAGAAGCGAAAGUGACGGUACCUGCAGAAGAAGCGCCGGCUAACUACGUGCCAGCAGCCGCGGUAAUACGUAGGGCGCAAGCGUUGUCCGGAAUUAUUGGGCGUAAAGAGCUCGUAGGCGGCUUGUCACGUCGGGUGUGAAAGCCCGGGGCUUAACCCCGGGUCUGCAUUCGAUACGGGCUAGCUAGAGUGUGGUAGGGGAGAUCGGAAUUCCUGGUGUAGCGGUGAAAUGCGCAGAUAUCAGGAGGAACACCGGUGGCGAAGGCGGAUCUCUGGGCCAUUACUGACGCUGAGGAGCGAAAGCGUGGGGAGCGAACAGGAUUAGAUACCCUGGUAGUCCACGCCGUAAACGGUGGGAACUAGGUGUUGGCGACAUUCCACGUCGUCGGUGCCGCAGCUAACGCAUUAAGUUCCCCGCC
rnacentral:rRNA from 1 species